ensembl:lncRNA
UGAAGAACGGCUUCACUUUUGAUUAGGGAAAUAAUAUGCUUACUUUUGGGUCUAUGAAGAUCUCGUAACAUUCCGGUUGAGAUGCCGGGGUAAAAAGAGUGAGCUCAGACGAAGGAGUCCGAGAAAAAGACACCGUGAGUUGAGCAAGGUGUUUAACUGACUCAGGAUUUCAGAAAAUCGAGUCAGGUGUGAUUUUGAGUUUUAAUGGUUUGAAGGGCCGGAGCAUGUAUACCUAAUAUGAUAUGACUAACCUUUUCUUUUAAUUUCCUAAGCUCGAGUGAAGCAUUUUGAGUUUGUAACACAUAAGAUGUGUCACAAAAGGGGGGAGUUAUAGGAUUUAAGGUUUAAUUUGAAAUGGGUUUUAGGAUUACUCGAUGACGUUUGGGGUUUUUGAUAAUUUAGAUAUGGUACAAUUGAGGCAGAAAUUGUUAUUUUCAUGUUCUUUUUGAUCUGUUUUUAUGCUCAGAUGGUGAUGGUUUAUAUCUUACCCUGGGUGUGUUUAACAAGGCUAACAGUGUUGCUCACACACAUGAAGGGCAUGGAGAUUAAGUAAAGUUAAUAUAAAGGACAGAGCCCAGAACAUGAUAUGGUGAAACAACUUUGAAUGAUUAAAGGAACCUUAGAUGAACACAGUAGAUAAGUGAGGUGUAGCAGAGAGAGGCUUUUUGUUUUCUAUCCUUUACAGGAGAAGAUUUCAGUACCACAGCGACCACAGGGGUGGCAAGAAUCCUGGAAGCCUGAGACCGAACGGAACCAACCAGAGAAAGGAGAAGAACAGAACACAAAGACACCUAGUUGUUUAUAUUACAAAGAAGAUCAAAAGCUUGUUAGACAUAGGUUAUAAUGGAAGCAUAAAAGGGAUGAGAGGAACUUUACAUAACAUAGAAAUCCUGCAACAAUUCGUAAAUUGCCCAAACACAGUGUUCAGACCGGAUAUGCGCUACCCGUUAAAGGGGGCGAAGAAAACAGGACUAAGUUUGAAAAAUGAAAUGGGUUAACUCGAUAGAGGAUGUUUCCAAAGGUUGAGAAAAUAAUGUAGGACCUUUUACCAGGAGAAAGCUAAUUGUAUCUUUUACACUUUACAGUGUGCACUGAGGGAAGUCAGGAAUAGUUUAAAUUAGGAUUGAAAAAAUUAAACUAGGUGAAAAGGGGGUGUAGCAAGUAGAUUUAGGGCAGCUCACAGCCUG